rnacentral:lncRNA from 1 species
AGUUACAUCGGACUGUGACACUUACUGUUUACAGGAGACUAUAAAACCUUUGCCCAGUCGUCACUUGGGGCCCGCCUGCAGCCAGGCCGUCAUUAAAACAGCAUGUUGCUCCACACCGCCUCGUGUUGUCUGUUGGCGUGCUCUCAGGGUGGAAACGAUACAAGAACGUUACACUUACAGGCUUUAGUUUGUAUUAUUCUCAUAGAAGACUUCCUCAUAAUCCGAUUUAAGAAAUGAGAGUUUCCCUGCACAAGCUCUUGCUUUGCCUGAUGCCAUCCAUGUAAGACGUGACUUGCUCCUCCUUGCCUUCUACCAUGAUUGUGAGACUUCCCCAGCCACGUGGAACCAUUAUGCUCCAAGACACUGAAUCUGAAAGGAUGCAUCCAGUUUUGCCAAGUGGUUUCACUACCAAGGCCAGUCUCCAUCUAUGAUAGACCCAAGGAAGGUCAUUUACAACUAGAAUCUAGUCAUUUAGGAGCUUGUGUGCUCCCUGGAUGGGCCAUCUGCACUGGUGUGAGGUUUAUCUCAUUGAAGGGAAAAACAAAGGAAUCUUCUUGAAUAUCAGCACCAGGAAGAGCAGUACAAACUGGAGAAGCUGGGGUAUGUAGGCAAUGGCUUCA